rnacentral:lncRNA from 1 species
CUGUAGACGUCGCUCUUGGCGGUCAAGUUCUGGAGCCGGUAGUAUUGGGGGUCCAUGUAUCCGACGGUACCCGCGGCUCGUGGUGACGACACGUGGCGUAUAUCGUCGUCGUCGUCGUCGGAAGGGGAGGAAGGGGAGAGGAUGGAGAGGCCGAAAUCGGAGACCUUGGCCGUCCACGUGGCGUCCAGGAGGAUGUUGGAGGACUUGAUGUCUCGAUGUAUGAUGGGCGGCACCGCGUAGACGUGGAGGUACUCGAUCCCCCGCGCCGCGUCGAGCGCCACCUUUAGCCGCGCCGCCCACGAAGCCAGCGGCGAGGCGGGGAGCCUGUGGAGGUGAUCAUGGAGCGUCCUANNNNNNNNNNNNNNNNNNNNUUGGCCAUGAACUCGUAUAGCAGAGCUCGCUCACCGGCUUGGCUACAGAAGCCAAGGAGCCGGACUAGGUUCUUGUGGUUGACUCGGGAGAGAAGAGCCAGCUCGGAGAGAAAGGCGGCUUCUCGGUCGCGAUCCCGACGGCGGCGGUCGGCGAGAGAGGUGGAGGCGGUGGCAGAGAUCUUGGCGCGCUUGAUGGCGACGAUGCGGCCGUCAUCGAGCGUUGCACGGUAGACCGACCCGAAGCUGCCAGACCCGAUCUUGUGGUCGUCGGAGAAGUUGUCGGUGGCGGCGAGGAGGACCGCCAAUGGGAAUUCCUCGAUCGUCGAGCUGUGGCCUUGGCUAAUCAUCAGGCUCAGCCGCCGGUCGAUCGGUAGGU